UACCCCCAGGGGCAAGUCGGAAUCCCCGCUGCCUCCCUUGAAAGAGAAGAUGUCCUGAACCACUAGACGGAUAGGGGC
rnacentral:tRNA from 1 species